rnacentral:rRNA from 1 species
CCUACGGGGGGCAGCAGUGGGGAAUAUUGGACAAUGGGGGCAACCCUGAUCCAGCCAUGCCGCGUGUGUGAAGAAGGCCCUCGGGUUGUAAAGCACUUUCAGUGAGGAAGAACGCCUGGUGGUUAAUACACAUCAGGAAAGACAUCACUCACAGAAGAAGCACCGGCUAACUCCGUGCCAGCAGCCGCGGUAAUACGGAGGGUGCGAGCGUUAAUCGGAAUUACUGGGCGUAAAGCGCGCGUAGGUGGCUUGAUAAGCCGGUUGUGAAAGCCCCGGGCUCAACCUGGGAACGGCAUCCGGAACUGUCAAGCUAGAGUGCAGGAGAGGAAGGUAGAAUUCCCGGUGUAGCGGUGAAAUGCGUAGAGAUCGGGAGGAAUACCAGUGGCGAAGGCGGCCUUCUGGACUGACACUGACACUGAGGUGCGAAAGCGUGGGUAGCAAACAGGAUUAGAUACCCUUGUAGUC